rnacentral:rRNA from 1 species
ACACAUGCAAGUCGAACGAGCGAGAGAGAGCUUGCUUUCUCGAGCGAGUGGCGAACGGGUGAGUAACGCGUGAGGAACCUGCCUCAAAGAGGGGGACAACAGUUGGAAACGACUGCUAAUACCGCAUAAGCCCACGACCCGGCAUCGGGUAGAGGGAAAAGGAGCAAUCCGCUUUGAGAUGGCCUCGCGUCCGAUUAGCUAGUUGGUGAGGUAACGGCCCACCAAGGCGGCGAUCGGUAGCCGGACUGAGAGGUUGAACGGCCACAUUGGGACUGAGACACGGCCCAGACUCCUACGGGAGGCAGCAGUGGGGAAUAUUGCACAAUGGGGGAAACCCUGAUGCAGCGACGCCGCGUGGAGGAAGAAGGUCUUCGGAUUGUAAACUCCUGUUGUUGAGGAAGAUAAUGACGGUACUCAACAAGGAAGUGACGGCUAACUACGUGCCAGCAGCCGCGGUAAAACGUAGGUCACAAGCGUUGUCCGGAAUUACUGGGUGUAAAGGGAGCGCAGGCGGGAAGACAAGUUGGAAGUGAAAUCCAUGGGCUCAACCCAUGAACUGCUUUCAAAACUGUUUUUCUUGAGUAGUGCAGAGGUAGGCGGAAUUCCCGGUGUAGCGGUGGAAUGCGUAGAUAUCGGGAGGAACACCAGUGGCGAAGGCGGCCUACUGGGCACCAACUGACGCUGAGGCUCGAAAGUGUGGGUAGCAAACAGGAUUAGAUACCCUGGUAGUCCACACCGUAAACGAUGAUUACUAGGUGUUGGAGGAUUGACCCCUUCAGUGCCGCAGUUAACACAAUAAGUAAUCCACCUGGGGAGUACGACCGCAAGG